rnacentral:lncRNA from 1 species
AAUUGUUAGCGACUAACACGUGCGAAACAAAAAUAACGAAUGAGCCAAAAGAAAGCCCUUUGUUUGCUGUAUUUCCCUUAACAGAUAUCUCAAUCCAUUCGAUCUAUUUGUUUCCUAACAAAGCAAUUAAUUGCACUGAAAGAACAUGAGAAAAUAAUCUAAUAACAAAUGAAAGCCUUCUGUUUGCUGUACUUUCUUCAACGGGGAUCUCAAACUUUUUCUUUUAAUCAAUUUAUAACCUAGUAAAGCAAUGGCUUACACCAGAAGAAAAUGUGGAAGUAAAAUCAUUGUAAUGAUUUUAUGCCAACAACCAAUAUGUACCAUAUCAACAAAACCCAUAAAUCUAAAGAAAUAUAUAGAUAGAACUCCAUGAUAAAAAAUGAAAAUUUUUUGCUAACAUAUCUAUUAUUGUGUAUAUAUAAAAAAUUUGAUCAAAGACAAUAAUGCUAAUAAACAUACAGUAUAUUCGAAAAGAAGCCCACAAAUGCACUAAGCCCCUGUUCGGUACAUGUUCUUUAAAAUUCAUUUUUCCACGAACUCUCCCAAUAAAAUGAUUUUAUGCGUCGAUCCAUAACAUUUUACAAUUUUUUAACCACAUCUUCAAAAAUAACACUUUCACAAAAUCUACAUCAAACAAGAUUUUUGGAAGACAUUAAUAUUCUUGGCAAUCACAAAUACAAACAUUCUACAUCCCUAAAAUCAUGAUUCAAAACCCAUAUCUAAAGAAUCAUUACAUGGGCUUAUAGAGAUGAAUUGUGAGAGAGAGAGAGAGUAUUUACCAAUAACAAAAUAUCAGGGGUUUGAAAAUGAAUAAGAGAGAUUUUUUUUAAGUCUGCAUUAAUAUUC